ACUACGAGUAAAGAUGCUCGUUUCGCGCAGCAGGACGGAAAGACCCCGGGACCUUUACUACAGUUUGAUAUUGGUGUUCGGUUCGGCUUGUGUAGGAUAGCUGGGAGACUGUGAAGCAUGCACGCCAGUGUGUGUGGAGUCGUCGUUGAAAUACCAGUCUGGUCGUGCUGGAUGUCUAACCUGGGUCCGUGAUCCGGAUCAGGGACAGUGUCUGAUGGGUAGUUUAACUGGGGCGGUUGCCUCCUAAAGAGUAACGGAGGCGCCCAAAGGUUCCCUCAGCCUGGUUGGCAAUCAGGUGUUGAGUGUAAGUGCACAAGGGAGCUUGACUGUGAGACCGACGGGUCGAGCAGGGACGAAAGUCGGGACUAGUGAUCCGGCGGUGGCUUGUGGAAGCGCCGUCGCUCAACGGAUAAAAGGUACCCCGGGGAUAACAGGCUGAUCUUCCCCAAGAGUCCAUAUCGACGGGAUGGUUUGGCACCUCGAUGUCGGCUCGUCGCAUCCUGGGGCUGGAGUCGGUCCCAAGGGUUGGGCUGUUCGCCCAUUAAAGCGGUACGCGAGCUGGGUUUAGAACGUCGUGAGACAGUUCGGUCCCUAUCCGCUGUGCGCGUAGGAGUCUUGAGAAGGGCUGUCCCUAGUACGAGAGGACCGGGACGGACGAACCUCUGGUGUGCCAGUUGUUCUGCCAAGGGCAUGGCUGGUUGGCUACGUUCGGGAGGGAUAACCGCUGAAAGCAUCUAAGCGGGAAGCCUGCUUCGAGAUGAGGACUCCCACCCACUUGAUGGGGUAAGGCUCCCAGUAGACGACUGGGUUGAUAGGCCGGAUCUGGAAGCACGGUAACGUGUGGAGGUGACCGGUACUAAUAGGCCGA
rnacentral:ncRNA from 1 species